rnacentral:rRNA from 1 species
UGGGGAUAACCUUGCGAAAGUAAGACUAAUACCCAAUGACGUCUCUAGAAGACAUCUGAAGGAGAUUAAAGAUUUAUCGGUGAUGGAUGGGGAUGCGUCUGAUUAGCUUGUUGGCGGGGUAACGGCCCACCAAGGCGACGAUCAGUAGGGGUUCUGAGAGGAAGGUCCCCCACAUUGGAACUGAGACACGGUCCAAACUCCUACGGGAGGCAGCAGUGAGGAAUAUUGGUCAACGGACGAGAGUCUGAACCAGCCAAGUAGCGUGCAGGAUGACGGCCCUAUGGGUUGUAAACUGCUUUUAUAAGGGAAUAAAGUGAGAGUCGUGACUCUUUUUGCAUGUACCUUAUGAAUAAGGACCGGCUAAUUCCGUGCCAGCAGCCGCGGUAAUACGGAAGGUCCGGGCGUUAUCCGGAUUUAUUGGGUUUAAAGGGAGCGUAGGCCGGAGAUUAAGCGUGUUGUGAAAUGUAGAUGCUCAACAUCUGAACUGCAGCGCGAACUGGUUUCCUUGAGUACGCACAAAGUGGGCGGAAUUCGUGGUGU